rnacentral:rRNA from 1 species
UACAGAGGUCUCAAGCGUUGUUCGGAUUCAUUGGGUGUAAAGGGUUCGUAGGCGGUGUGGCAAGUCGGGAGUGAAAUCUCUGGCUCAACUCAGAGACUGCUUCCGAAACUGCUGUGCUGGAGUGUGGGAGAGGCGCGUGGAAUUGCAGGUGUAGCGGUGAAAUGCGUAGAUAUCUGCAGGAACACCCGUGGCGAAAGCGGCGCGCUGGACCACUACUGACGCUGAGGAACGAAAGCUAGGGGAGCAAACAGG